AUUUUACGGACACAAGAAUUCAGUUCUCCAGUGAGUCUAAAGGACAGAAGGAAUGGACAAAUUCCUGAGCCUACUCAACCUUUGGUUACAAUUAAACUGGGUGAGCGGUAAGCAGGACGUGAGUCAGAGUCCUGAAGCUCUGAGCGUGAGAGAGGGAGACAGCGUGGAUCUCAACUGCAGUUACCCCGACAGCGCUCUGUACUUCCUGCAGUGGUUUAGGCAGGAUCCCGGGAAAGGGCUCACAUCCCUACUGUCAAUUCAGGCGAAUCAGAAAGAGCAAACACGUGGAAGAAUUACAGUCUCGUUGGAUAAACCAUCAGGACACAGUGCUUUACACAUUGCGACUUCUCAGCACGGUGACUCGACCACCGACCUCUGAGCUGUGGGCCCCAGUGCGCAGAGGGAGCCUGUUCC